CCUUAGUACGGCCAGUCCUGGCUCGGGAUGUGAGCAAACGAAACCAUGCAAGUCAGCGAACAGGAUUCCAGGGUAGCAAUACUUUGAUGAAGAGUGGCGCACGGGUUGCGUAACGCGUAUGCCAAAUUCACCAAAAUCGGAAUCAAUACUCCAUGUUGCAGGACAGGUUCAUUCUGCAGUUGAAUUUAUCAGUUAAAGAUGGGCAUGGGUAAGCAUUAGCUUGUUGGUGGCAUCCCGGCUGUCUCGUGAGAGGGUUAUCUGGUACUGAGACCCGGACAGACUCCCACACUGCCAGGAGGCAGUAAGGAAUAUUGGUCCAAUGGGCAGAAGCCUGUCCAACCAUGCCGCGUGCCCGAAAACUGGCCUAUGGUUAUGGAAAGCUUGCUUUGUCAGGGAAUAAACCUGUCUACGUGCUUAGACGGGUGAAGGUACCUGAAGAAUAUUCAUUCGCUACCCGUGCCAGCAGCCGCGGUAGUGCAGGAGGAUCCAAGCGUUAUCCGGAUUCAUUGGGUUUAAAAGAUUGCGCAGGCGGAUUGUUAAGUCGGGGUGAAAUCCUACAGGCUCAACUGUAGAACUGCCCUUGAUACUGUCAGUCUAGAGUAUAGUUGAAGUGGGCGGAAUGUGUCAUGUAGCGGUGAAAUGCUUAGAUAUGACACAGAACACCGAUCGCGAAGGCGGGACGCUAAGCUAUAACUGACGCUCAUGCACGAAAGCGUGGGGAUCAAACAGGAUUAGUACCUGGUAGUCCACGCUGUAAACGAUGAUUACUCGAUGUUGGCGAUGCAAGGUCAGCGUCACAGGCGAAAGCUGUCCGUAAUCCAAGGGAAUUGCGAUCGCAGGGAUCAAACUCAAAAGGAAUUGACGGGGCCACCACAAGCCGGGAAGAGGCAUGUGGUUUAAUUCGAUGAUACGCAGAGGAACCUUACCUGGGCUAGAACAUUAGAAUGACUAUAGGUGAAAGGCUUAUAUCCCUUCGGGGCAGUCCACGAGGUGCUGCAUGGUUGUCGUCAGGUGCGUGCCGUGAGGUGUCAGGUUAAGUCCACAACGAGCGCAACCCUAUCUUUAGUUGCCAACAGGUCAGGCCGGGGACUCUAAAGAAGGUACCUACGCAAGUAGUGAGGAAGGCGGGGAUGACGUCAAAUCCCCACGGCCCGUCCCCCCCUCACACGCUACAAUGGCCGAUGCAGAGGAGCUACCAGGUGACUGGAUGCAAAUCUCCAAAGUCGGUCUC
rnacentral:rRNA from 1 species